GGCGAACGGGUGAGUAACACAUCGGAACAUACCCAGUCGUGGGGGAUAACACUUCGAAAGAAGUGCUAAUACCGCAUACGUCCUGAGGGAGAAAGCGGGGGAUCUUCGGACCUCGCGCGAUUGGAGUGGCCGAUGUCAGAUUAGCUAGUUGGUGGGGUAAAGGCCUACCAAGGCGACGAUCUGUAGCUGGUCUGAGAGGACGACCAGCCACACUGGGACUGAGACACGGCCCAGACUCCUACGGGAGGCAGCAGUGGGGAAUUUUGGACAAUGGGGGCAACCCUGAUCCAGCCAUUCCGCGUGAGUGAAGAAGGCCUUCGGGUUGUAAAGCUCUUUCGGCAGGAACGAAACGGCGCGCUCUAACAUAGCGCGUUAAUGACGGUACCUGAAGAAGAAGCACCGGCUAACUACGUGCCAGCAGCCGCGGUAAUACGUAGGGUGCGAGCGUUAAUCGGAAUUACUGGGCGUAAAGCGUGCGCAGGCGGUUGUGUAAGACAGGUGUGAAAUCCCCGGGCUUAACCUGGGAACUGCGCUUGUGACUGCACGGCUAGAGUAUGGCAGAGGGGGGUGGAAUUCCACGUGUAGCAGUGAAAUGCGUAGAGAUGUGGAGGAACACCGAUGGCGAAGGCAGCCCCCUGGGCCAAUACUGACGCCCAUGCACGAAAGCGCGGGGAGCAAACAGGAUUAGAUACCCUGGUAGUCCACGCCCUAAACGAUGUCGACUAGGUGUUCGGUGAGGAGACUCAUUGAGUACCGCAGCUAACGCGUGAAGUCGACCGCCUGGGGAGUACGGUCGCAAGAUUAAAACUCAAAGGAAUUGACGGGGACCCGCACAGCGGUGGGUUGAGUGUUGGGGAAUUAAUUCGAUGCAACGCGAAAACCUUACCUACCCUUGACAUGUACGGACCCUGCUGAAAAAGGGUGGGGGGUGCUCGAAAGAGAGCCGUACACAGUGCUGCAUGACUGUCGUCAGCUCGUGUCGUGAGAUGUUUGGUAAGUCCCGCACGAGCGCAACCCUUGUCAUAGUACCAGCACGUAAUGGUGGGCACUUCUAAGG
rnacentral:rRNA from 1 species